rnacentral:tRNA from 1 species
GCGUUGGUGGUUUAGUGGUAAAAUUCAUCGUUGCCAUAACGAACAUCAGUUCGCUUGUGAAUCUCGAUGAGCCCCGGGUUCGAUUCCCGGCCGACGCA